GAUGAACGCUGGCGGCGUGCUUAACACAUGCAAGUCGAACGGAAAGGCUCCUGCUUGCAGGGGUACUCGAGUGGCGAACGGGUGAGUAACACGUGGGUGAUCUGCCCUGCACUUCGGGAUAAGCCUGGGAAACUGGGUCUAAUACCGGAUAGGACCACAUUUUGGAUGGUGUGGUGGAAAGUUUUUCGGUGUGGGAUGAGCUCGCGGCCUAUCAGCUUGUUGGUGGGGUAAUGGCCUACCAAGGCGUCGACGGGUAGCCGGCCUGAGAGGGUGUACGGCCACAUUGGGACUGAGAUACGGCCCAGACUCCUACGGGAGGCAGCAGUGGGGAAUAUUGCACAAUGGGCGCAAGCCUGAUGCAGCGACGCCGCGUGGGGGAUGACGGCCUCCGGGUUGUAAACUCCUUUCGCUAGGGACGAAGCGUUUUUGUGACGGUACCUGGAGAAGAAGCACCGGCUAACUACGUG
rnacentral:rRNA from 1 species